rnacentral:miRNA from 11 species
UCAUCAUCAUCAUCAUCAUCAUCAUCAUCAUCAUCAUCAUCAUCAUCAUCAUCAUCACCACAUUAUGAUGAUGAUAUUGAUGAUGCAUGGAAUUAUAAAUUAUUUUAAA